ACACCCGAUCUCGAGGGUGCUGAGCGGCACGCGCUAGGUGCUGCUGCUGGAAGGGCGGGCACCUUUUGGGGGGGGGGGGUGCGUGUGUAUGCAUUGGUGCUGCCUACGUUCUUCCCGUUUCGGUUAGCGGUGCUCGGUGCUGGGAAUGAGCAAGGAGAGGGGAAACGACGAUGACUGCGGCUUCAGGACAUUGCCUGAUGUAGGAAAAUGCAAGAGGGAGCCGGAGAGCUGAAGGUUUCCAGUGUCGAAACACUGCGUGUGUGUGCAAUGUCAGACGCCCCGCGCUCUCUGCACUGCCGCAUUUCCUCGUUGAUGAUCUAGGUUGUGGAUCACAGAAUCACAGAAUGGUUGAGAUUGGAAGAGACCUCUGGAGAUAUCUAGUCCAACACCCCUGCUCAAGCAGAGUCACAGGAGCAUGUUGCCCAGGAUCGUGUCCACACAGCUUUUGAAUAUCUCCAAGGAAGGAGACUCCACAACUUCUCUGGGCAACCUGUUCCAGUGCUCAGUCACCCUCACAGGAAAAAGUUUUUCCUCAUGCUCAGACGGAACUUCCUGUGUUUCAGUUUGUGCCCAUUGCCUCUCAUCCUGUCGCUGGGCACCACUGAAAAGAGUCUGGCCCCAUCUUCUCUACACCCUCCCUUCAGAUAUUUAUACACAUUGAUAAGAUUCCCCCCCUCAGCCUUCUCUUCUCCAGGCUGAACAGUCCCAGCUCUCUCAGCCUCUCCUCAUAGGAGAGAUGCUCCAGUCCCUUCACCAUCUUAGUGGCCCUCCACUGGACUUGCUCCAAUACCUCCAUGGCUCUCUUGUAUUGGGGAGCCCAGAACUGGACACAGUACUCCAGGUGUGGCCUCACCAGGGCUGAGUAGAGGGGCAGGAUCACCUCCCUCAACCUGCUGGCAAUGCUCUUCCUAAUGCAGCCCAGGAUACCACUGGUCUUCUUGGCCACAAGGGCACAUUGCUGGCUCAUGGUCAACUUCUUGUCCACCAGGACCCCCAGGUCCUUCUCUGCAGAGCUGCUUUCCAGCAGGUCAGCCCCCAGCCUGUACUGGGUCAUUCCUCCCUAGGUGCAGGAAUUUGCAUUUCCCUUUGCUGGAUUCCAUGAGGUUCCUCUCUGCCCCUCUCUCCAGCCUGUCCAGGUCCCUCUGAAUGGCAGCACAGCCCUGUGGUGUAUCAGCCACUCCUCCCAGUUUUGUAUCAUCAGCAAACUCGCUGAGGGUGAACUCUGUCCCUUCAUCCAGGUCAUCGAUGAAUAAGUCAAUGAUGAAUAAGAUGAAUAAGGAUCUAAUGAAUACUUUAAUUUCCCUGGGUGAAGGGGAGGGAGGCGGAGCAAAAAAAAAAGGAGACUCUCUGCAGGGCUGACUGUUCUUAUUAUGGCAAAUGUGUGUUUGAAACAAGUUACAUGAAUUUUUAAAAGAAAAAGGGCAGCCCACUUUCAUGGUAGGAUGGCAGGAGAAUGUCAUUUUGCUAGGCAUGGUGCUGGGAUUUUGUAGUGACUUGACAGUUUUGUUUCCUGAGAAAGCAGUGACUGGAUCCAGUACUAAAUGAAGUCCUAGUGAGGAGAGUGACCACGUAAAACCUUUUCAGGCUCUUUCUCCUAGCCAGUACCUUCAGCAUUAUAAUUAGCUGGACAAUAUGGAAACAGGUCUAUACUGAUGUAUUUCAUUUCAUAUUUAGAAUUAGAUGUCAGAGGAUGUAGUUAGCUUUGGAUUGAUGAAAAAGAUUUAAUGUAUAUAGUCUGUUUUGGGGCAUCAGUCAUCUGAAAAAUAGCAAGUAGUAAUAAUUCAUGCUCUGGAUCAGUACUCAAAAGUUCACUUUUUCUUAAAAAUGCAAAGCUUUGGAUGAAGCCUCAGUCUGGCAGUAUUCAAAUUCAUCAUGGCAAGAAGGUCUAGCAGAAAGGUCCUCCAUACUAGAUAAGCAUGUUCAUUGGGCUACCAUGCAGCAACUCCCAAUAGGAGUGACUAGAUGUUAGGCUGCAGAAUGGGUCUCAGUAUUACCCCUCCAUGGAAGUUAUAAAGGUCUGUAACAUGGGUAUUGAAGUGAAAGGUGCAAAUAAUCUACUUUUCUGUGAAUUCAGUGGUCCUACUAUACCAGAAAGGCUGCCUCGCUGGCAUUAGUCAUUUUGCUGAGAAAGAAUGAUAUAGUAUGUAACAAAAGCAUCAGGAAAGCCCACUAUAAGAUCCAUUCAACCAGUUUCCAUCCAUAACAACCUGAAGAAUUGUGAUAUAAAUCUGAAAAAUGUUUAAUAACAAUUAAAUCUAUGUGUGUGUGAUGAUUUAAUCUAGUUUAAAAACAAGAUAGAAACUGGCUUUCUUUCACUGUUAAUAUAGAAGCUUCAUAAUACUGAUAUUAUCAGUUAAACCAAAUUGUGUUUCCAGCUAUGCACCAGUGAAUGUCAAUAACUCCCUUAACUGCAGGAAAGUCGGUAUAGAUUAAGUGGUGUAGCAGAAAAAUAAGAUUUUUGCCCCUGCUCCCACCUGAACAAUAGCUAUGCAAAAAUGUAAUUUGAAUGAGAAACCUUCAACCUGAGUCACUAUAGAGUUAUUCCAAUGUUACCUCAGGUUGACUUCACUGAAUUACAUUUUUUACUCCUGAGAGAUUGCCUACAGAUACGAAAGCAUUAGUGGAAUGCAAUUACCAGACGAAUCUUUGCUGUUAAUUCCUGUAUCGAGUUUUUCAACAUGAGAUGCUUUUAAAUGGAAUAACAUUCAUUCAGAACAUGCAGCCACAAGGACAUCUUUUAAGAUCUGACCCUAUACUUUGUCUUCCCACAACCCUGCUUCCACUUAGAAAAGGUAAAGCAGAAACUGUGUCAAGGCUUGGUGGAGGAAAAUCUCAAGACAUAUUACAGAUCUUACCUGAGGCCAGCUUCUGCAGCAGUUAAUGGAAAAGAUACUUAUAAGGCACCAAAAAGCAUGAUCCACCUGUGUCUUUCUGUUUCUUCCUAGACUGUAUUUUCUCCAUGAAGCAGCUGUAAGCUAUGCAUCACUGUUGAAUAUUUAUUUCAAAGAAAACACACAGCUUUCCAAGCAAGAGUAAAAGAUGGCUUUUUUUAAUGUCAGUGGAAGUUCUAAAGGAGAACAUCAGAAAGUUAUCCGUAUCUGCAUACCUGUAAGAUUUUCACUAGAGAACAUGUCUUAAAGGAAAUUAAGAGGAACAAUUUCACUUUUAUUUUUAAAGACUUGCUCUCAUAUGUUGCACUAGUGUUGCUGCAAGUCAAAUAGUUUAUUCACAGCACUUUUAACAAGGUCAAAAAGGUAUUUAGGACUCCCUAAUAGUCCAGUCUCAUAAUGGAAGCCUGUGUACCAUUAUUUUUAGCAAUGUAGGGAUAACAAAAUUUGUCAUUCAUCAGUAUGGAAGAGCCACUUUCUACUCAUCACUGUUGUUAAUGUGAUUUGAUGAAAGUACACAUGCAUUUUCUCGCUUUUAAAGCCAGCCUGAACAACCUGAUGUGAUUAGACCUGAUUUGAGCAGAGGGUUGGACUAGAGGACCUCCAGAGGUCCCUUCAAACCUAAAUUAUUCUAUGAUUGCUUUGAUCUUGUGUUCAUACAUUUCACUGAUCUUAUGUGAGCAUUGCGUGAGUACUUUUACUGAGAUCAGCAGUUCUGAUUUCUUAUGCAAUUGUGGCUCUUUCCUGUCCUUUCCCUUUCAUGUGUAUGUAGCUUUUUAUUUUUCUUUCUAAAAUUAAGUCAAUCUGCUGGGAUCAAACCCAUUGCAUAGAAGGAAAAAAUGUGAGCUGUUUCCUGCAAACAAUUGAUGGCAAACACAUUGUACUAAAGCUUACUGAAAAAACUUUUUCUUUGGAAAGUGAGAAUAGAGGAAUUUUCUCCUGCACUCUUGUGUUAAGCUGUAAACUUAUUGUUAGAAGGAAAAGAGAAGCAAAGUUUUGGUUUUCCUCAGGAUAUUACUCUGAUUUUAGCAAAAACUCCUAAAGAUACAACUGUCACUGAAGGUUUCAGCAAUUCCAUUGAAAACUGAAAAGCUUGGGGUGUGUUUGUUUUUAAUUUACAGCGUGGUCAAUUCAACUGAAUUCACAUAAGAAGCAUAUAUUGCUGAAAACUUAAAGCAUCCACUAGCUGAUUUUAUGAUACAGUAAAAAUGCUUUUUUUUUAAUGGAGUUACUCAUGAAGCAGUUUGAUAAUUAUUCUAACAGAUAAGCUGAGUUUGUUCUGGGAAAAUGUUCAAGUUACUCAGCAUAGAUUCUCAUAGUCAUGUUUGUUUUUUUUUUAAUCAGUACAAAUAAAACCUGAUGCUUUGUCAGUGGCAAUUAUGUUUUUAUCAUUUUGGAUUUUUAUUAAAACCUUUUAACAGAUAAAAUAUCAUUUGUUUCUCAUAUCUAACGUAGGAAAUUCAGUCCAGAUCUACUUUAACUCCCACUGAGAGAACAGAAAAAUUCUCUUUAACUUCAGUGAUGGCUAGUCAUGUUCUACUUCUGUAUUUAUUAAAGAAGAUGCUUAAAAGCCUUUAAUUUUUGUUGAAGUCAUUUUGCUUGAAGCAUGCACUCUAUAGCAAGGUCUGGAUCCUGUGAAGUCCUGUGCCUUUAUUUUAUUUUAUCAGACUGUGAAUAGGCACAUCAUCCCAUCUUUUCCUGUUUUCUUUGGCUCUGGUGGGAUUUCCCACAGACAUAAGGUUUUGCAGAUAUGCAGGGCCUGAGCUCUUGUUCUGACAUUUCUUUCCAAACUGAAAUUUUCUUUAAUUUAUUUUUCUGAUGGUCUAUCUUCCUGUUAUCAUUCAAAUGAGGUAUCAGUGACAGUUCAAUGUGGUCCUGUGUAUUAUAUUAGUAGUUCACUGUAGAAUCCCUAGCUAAGCUUGGGAAUUAGUGGAGUUAAGGAUUGUACAAAUCUCUUAUAAGAGACAGUUUCUGCCCCAAAAUCAAAGUAGACAAGAUAGAGAAUGGGGAAAAUUAAUAUGGAUACCUACUUAUGAGGUAAUAUAAGUAAACAGCAGUGCUAGCAAUAGAACUCACUGGGUUGCUAAGCCCCAGCCAAAGCACAAGAUCACAAUGUGUUUUUACAUAUCAGUUCUAGUAUAAUUCCUACUUAAAACACUUUUAAUAAUUGUGAUUGGCAGACUAAGGUUUCUAAAAGUCUUGGUUUGACUGUAGAUAAAGGAUCAGCUACUGUAGAAAGAAUGAAGAGGAGAAAGAAGUAAAAUGUGGGGUAGAUUCUUUAUUUCAGCUUCUCCUUGAUUAUUUUUCACAGUUUCUGGACAUAUUUUUAAAAAUCAAUCCUGGAAUCAUAACUAGAUUCCUGUAGAAUCAUUCAGAGAACCAUAAACUUAAAAGGAACCUUAAAAGAUUUUCAGGUUCAUUCCAAGGCAGGAUCAAGGAUACUACUUAUAAUAACACACCCAGAUUUUUGCAUUGCUGAAAUUGAAUGCUCCCUCAGUCAGUUUAGUUAUUUCACUCUGAAAACAUCAUAAAAUGAAGCCUAGGUAGGAGGGAACAGUUAGGCUGAGGUAAUGUGAAAGGAAGCUCUCAAUCUGAGGCUGAGAUGAUGUCAGGAAAAAGACUUGUUUUGUACUUUUAAUUACCGGCUUGAAUCAUGUAACCCCACUUGACAUGGAUGGCAAAAUAGUAAAAAAGCACUAUACCACAGCUGCACUGAAAAAUGAGGUAUCAAUUGAUUUUUGGGCUUUGCUGAUUUAUCACAAAAGGUACAAGGUUGAUUUCAGAGUGUGUUAUGGGCCUGAUCUAAAGUCCCUUUGAGUUGCUGCAUUGGACUUUGGAUCAAUUGCCACGUGAGAUUAAAAUGAAAGCAGAAUGGAAGUUGAUUGCUUUGUGGUAUUUCAAUGGAACUAUAGUAGGGUAAGCUUUCAAAUCUUUGAUAGCCUUGCUAGAGACACAUUUAAUAACAAUGACUUAAAAAGACCUUGUAUGUAGUUCUGCCAGCCAUGCUGAAACAUGUAUUGUCUACCAGAUGCUUUGAAUAGGAAAAAAAAAAAAUCAAAGUAUAUGGUACACUAAGUUCUUGAUAUUGGUUUUAGUACAGAAGUUGUAGAACACUGCCUAUAUGUUGUAUAAUAUAUAUAUAUAUAAAUAUUAUCCUUUUAAUAUGUUAUAUUCUCAAAUCUAUUUAAUUACUCCAUUUACAUAUGCUGAUAUUUAGACUAAAAUGGAAUCACAGACUCAUUCAGGUUGGAAGAGACUUCAGGAGGUCUCUAGUCCAACCUCCUGCUCAAAGCAGGGGCAGUUAUGAGGUUCAGACCAGGUUGCUGAGGACUUUGUCCAGUUGGGACUUGAAAACCUCCAAAGAUAGACUUUACAACCUCUCUGGGUCCCUGUUCCAAUGUUUUACUGUCCUCAUGGUGAAAAAGUUUCUCCUUAUCCAGUCUGAACCUCUCUUGUUUCAAUUUAUGCCCCUUGUCUCUUAUCUUCCUGCCAUGUUCCACUGAAGAGCCUGGCUCCUUCAUUUUGUGCAAGGGCACAAGGGGCAGAGCAGAUGUGUCUAGGGGACAGCAUG